GACUGCCGGUGAUAAACCGGAGGAAGGUGGGGACGACGUCAAGUCAUCAUGGCCCUUACGAGUAGGGCUACACACGUGCUACAAUGGCGCAUACAGAGGGCGGCCAACUUGCGAAAGUGAGCGAAUCCCAAAAAGUGCGUCGUAGUCCGGAUUGGAGUCUGCAACUCGACUCCAUGAAGUCGGAAUCGCUAGUAAUCGUGGAUCAGAAUGCCACGGUGAAUACGUUCCC
rnacentral:rRNA from 1 species